rnacentral:rRNA from 1 species
GACGAACGCUGGCGGCGUGCUUAACACAUGCAAGUCGAACGAGAAGACAUGAGAAGCUUGCUUCUUAUCGAUUCUAGUGGCAAACGGGUGAGUAACGCGUAAGCAACCUGCCCUUCAGAUGGGGACAACAGCUGGAAACGGCUGCUAAUACCGAAUACGUUCUUUCCGCCGCAUGACGGAAUGAAGAAAGGGAGGCCUUCGGGCUUUCGCUGGAGGAGGGGCUUGCGUCUGAUUAGCUAGUUGGAGGGGUAACGGCCCACCAAGGCGACGAUCAGUAGCCGGUCUGAGAGGAUGAACGGCCACAUUGGGACUGAGACACGGCCCAGACUCCUACGGGAGGCAGCAGUGGGGAAUCUUCCGCAAUGGACGAAAGUCUGACGGAGCAACGCCGCGUGAACGAUGACGGCCUUCGGGUUGUAAAGUUCUGUUAUAUGGGACGAACAGGACAUCGGUUAAUACCCGGUGUCUUUGACGGUACCGUAAGAGAAAGCCACGGCUAACUACGUGCCAGCAGCCGCGGUAAUACGUAGGUGGCAAGCGUUGUCCGGAAUUAUUGGGCGUAAAGGGCGCGCAGGCGGCAUCGCAAGUCGGUCUUAAAAGUGCGGGGCUUAACCCCGUGAGGGGACCGAAACUGUGAAGCUCGAGUGUCGGAGAGGAAAGCGGAGUUCCUAGUGUAGCGGUGAAAUGCGUAGAUAUUAGGAGGAACACCAGUGGCGAAAGCGGCUUUCUGGACGACAACUGACGCUGAGGCGCGAAAGCCAGGGGAGCAAACGGGAUUAGAUACCCCGGUAGUCCUGGCCGUAA